rnacentral:rRNA from 1 species
UACAGGGGGUGCAAACGUUGCUCGGAAUCAUUGGGCGUAAAGCGCACGUAGGCGGUCUGUUAAGUCGGAUGUGAAAGCCCUCGGCUUAACUGAGGAAGUGCAUCCGAAACUGAGCAGCUAGAGUACGAAAGAGGGUCGCGGAAUUCCCGGUGUAGAGGUGAAAUGCGCAGAUAUCAGGAGGAACACCAAUUGCGAAGGCAGCUCGCUGGGACGUUACUGACGCUGAUGCGCGAAAGCGUGGGGAGCAAACAGG